UAUGACAGAAUUUUCAUUUUUGAGCGAAAUAACCCUUUAAUUUGCAAUACAAUUGUUUUUUGCCAUUGUUUUUGUCUCAAGCAUUCAUUCCUUGAUCGGUUUUGAAUAUGCUUUCAAACAACAGACGCUUUGCAUUGACUGUUCAUGCUUCACUGCUCUGAGAGUGUUUAUAGACCUCUGAGUUUACAGACUAAAAGAUAUUGUUUGACAACAAACAAUAACCUCACAAACUGCCUUACAACAAUGAUCUAUAUAAUUAUUUGGUCCCUGUACUACACGCAAGGUUCUGUGGGUCAGGUUGUGACUCAGUCUGGAAAUCAGACAGUGGAGCCUGGUCAAACUGUCACUAUUGAAUGUAAACACACACCAGGAAUUAAUUGCUGGAAAGCAGAUGAGAAAAAGUACUGUAUCUCCUGGUUUCACCAGAUUCCUGGCGAAGCUCCUAAACUCCUGAUCUAUCUCACAUCAAAGAGAGCUUCAGGAGUUUCCUCUAGAUUUAAUGGCAGUGAGAGUGGAAACCACAUUGAUUACACUUUGACCAUCAGUGAAGUUCAGCCUGAAGAUUCAGGAGAUUAUUACUGUAUGGGCAAAUAUGACAUUAUACCUGGGGAGAAAACACAUUGGGUGUUCACACAGUGUUACAGCGUCAUACAAAAACCUCUCCUGUAAAGACUGCACUGCUUUCUCAUUGGAGAUGUAUUUAGUUCUGGUGAGCUGUUGCUGUUACUUUGUUUUUCAAAUAUAGUUUAUUUGGAAUUUUGAUUAAAAAUGUAAUGAAAUUGUGAUGCAUAUUCCUAGUUAUUCUAGGUGGCCAUUUUUAUAUCAGGCAACUGAAAAGAAACACUAAUUUAAGCACAUAAAACUGAAUU